AACCGAGAACUCCUACGGGAGGCAGCAGUGGGGAAUUUUGGACAAUGGGGGCAACCCUGAUCCAGCAAUGCCGCGUGCAGGAAGAAGGCCUUCGGGUUGUAAACUGCUUUUGUCAGGGAAGAAAUCCUUUGGGCUAAUACCUCGGAGGGAUGACGGUACCUGAAGAAUAAGCACCGGCUAACUACGUGCCAGCAGCCGCGGUAAUACGUAGGGUGCGAGCGUUAAUCGGAAUUACUGGGCGUAAAGCGUGCGCAGGCGGCUUUGCAAGACAGAGGUGAAAUCCCCGGGCUCAACCUGGGAACUGCCUUUGUGACUGCAAGGCUAGAGUACGGCAGAGGGGGAUGGAAUUCCGCGUGUAGCAGUGAAAUGCGUAGAUAUGCGGAGGAACACCGAUGGCGAAGGCAAUCCCCUGGGCCUGUACUGACGCUCAUGCACGAAAGCGUGGGGAGCAAACAGGAUUAGAUACCCCAGUAGUCCGACUGAGA
rnacentral:rRNA from 1 species